UACGAGGGUUGCAAGCGAUGCUCGGCAUUAUUGGGCGUAAAGGGUAGGUCGGUGGUCUCAUUUGUCUGGGGGGAAAGCCUUGAGCUUAACUCAAGAAGUGCCCCGGAAACGGUGAGACUGGAGUCUUGGAAAGGGUCGGAGAUUUCCCGGUGUAGCGGUGAAAUGCGUAGAGAUCGGGAGGAACGCCAGAGGCGAAGGCGGCGACCUGGACAAGUACUGACACUCAACUACGAAAGAGUGGGGAGCAAACAGG
rnacentral:rRNA from 1 species